rnacentral:rRNA from 1 species
UACGGAGGGGGCUAGCGUUGUUCGGAAUUACUGGGCAUAAAGCGCAUGUAGGCGGACCUACAAGUCGGGGGUGAAAUCCCGGGGCUCAACCCCGGAACGGCCUCCGAAACUGUGGGUCUGGAGGAUGAGAGAGGCGAGUGGAAUUCCGAGUGUAGAGGUGAAAUUCGUAGAUAUUCGGAGGAACACCAGUGGCGAAGGCGGCUCGCUGGCUCAUUUCUGACGCUGAGGUGCGAAAGCGUGGGGAGCAAACAGG